rnacentral:rRNA from 1 species
GAUGAACGCUGGCGGCGUGCUUAACACAUGCAAGUCGAACGGAAAGGCCCAAGCUUGCUUGGGUACUCGAGUGGCGAACGGGUGAGUAACACGUGGGUGAUCUGCCCUGCACUUCGGGAUAAGCCUGGGAAACUGGGUCUAAUACCGGAUAGGACCACUUCUUGGAUGUUGUGGUGGAAAGUUUUUUCGGUGUGGGAUGAGCUCGCGGCCUAUCAGCUUGUUGGUGGGGUAAUGGCCUACCAAGGCGUCGACGGGUAGCCGGCCUGAGAGGGUGUACGGCCACAGUGGGACUGAGAUACGGCCCAGACUCCUACGGGAGGCAGCAGUGGGGAAUAUUGCACAAUGGGCGCAAGCCGGAUGCAGCGACGCCGCGUGGGGGAUGACGGCCUUCGGGUUGGAAACUCCUUUCGCUAGGGACGAAGCGUUUUGUGACGGUACCUGGAGAAGAAGCACCGGCUAACUACGUG